rnacentral:rRNA from 1 species
UACGAAGGGGCGUAGCGUUGUUCGGAAUCACUGGGCGUAAAGACGCACGUAGGCGGACCAUUAAGUCAGGGGUGAAAGCCUGGAGCUCAACUCCAGAACUGCCUUUGAUACUGAUGGUCUCGAGUUCGGAAGAGGUUGGUGGAACUGCGAGUGUAGAGGUGAAAUUCGUAGAUAUUCGCAAGAACACCAGUGGCGAAGGCGGCACUGUC